rnacentral:lncRNA from 1 species
CAAUCAUCAUGUGACGUUCGUCAUUAAAAGGAGACCAAGGCGUAGUGUGGGUUGGGUUCAUCAUACUUCAUUUUAAAUGUGAACCAGCAAAAACAAUAAAAAAUACAGAAGACACUGUGGCCCCAUCCGAUGAUACCCCCGGACUAACCAGGACAGUAAUGGAUGAGGCAUAUUGAUAUUAGAGAGAGCAUGCGUAGCCAAGUGAACAUAUGGGUCCAGUGAGUGGUUGGGAUGGUUGGGGACACGGCGAUUCAGACAGUUAGCAGGCCGGUGCUAACAAGCUAGCAGAUAGUAGGCCGGGGCCCACAUGCUAGCAGUUAGCAGACCGGGUUAGCAAGCAAGCAGUUAUCAGACCGGGGCAAGCAAGCUAGCAAUUAGCAGACCGUGGCUAGCAAGCUAGCAGUUAGCAGACCGGGGAUAGCAAGUUAGCAGAAGGGCCUUUGGGGGACGUCGCGAUGGAGAGGACCUGAGCCCUAGGACCAUGCCUCAGGACUACCUGACAUGAUGAAUCCUUGCUGUCCCCAGUCCACCUGGCCAUGCUGCUGCUCCAGUUUCAACUGUUCUGCCUGCGGCUAUGGAACCCUGACCUGUUUACCGGACAUGCUACCUGUCCCAGACCUGCUGUUUUCAACUCUCUAGAGACAGCAGGAGCGGUAGAGAUACUCUUGAUUAUCGGCUAUGAAAAGCCAACUGACAUUUACUCUUGUGGUGCUGACUUGUUGCACUCUCAACAACUGUGAUUAUUAUUAUUUCACCAUGCUGGUCAUUUAUGAACAUUUGAACAUCUUGUCCAUGUUCUGUUAUAAUCUCCACCCGGCACAGCCAGAAUCGGACUGGCCACCCCUCAUAGCCUGGUUCCUCUCUAGGUUUCUUCCUAGGUUUUGGCCUUUCUAGGGAGUUUUUCCUAGCCACCGUGCUUAUACAUCUGCAUUGCUUGCUGUUUGGGGUUUUAGGCUGGGUUUCUGUACAGCACUUUGAGAUAUCAGCUGAUGUAAGAAGGUCUAUAUAAAUACAUUUGAUUUGAUUUGAUUCCCAGUGGGUCAGAAGUUUACAUACACUCAAUUAGUAUCUGGUAGCAUUGCCUUUAAAUUGUUAACUUAGGUCAAAUGUUUCGGGUAGCCUUCCACAAUCUUCCCACAAUAGAUUGGGUGAAUUUUGGCCCAUUCCUCCUGACAGAGUUGAUGUAACUGAGUCAGGUUUGUAGGCCUCCUUGCUCCCACACGCUUUUUCAUUUCUGUCCACACAUUUUCUAUAGGAUUGAACUCAGGGCUUUGUGAUGGCCACUCCAACACCUUGACUUUGUUGUCCUUAAGCCCUUUUACCACAAUUUUGGAAGAAUGCUUGGGGUCAUUGUCCAUUUGGAAGUCCCAUUUGCUACCAAUCUUUAACUUCCUGACUGAUGUCUUGAGAUAUUGCUUCAAUAUAUCCACAUCAUUUUCCUUCCUCAUGAUCUAUUUUGUGAAGUGCACCAAUCCCUCCUGCAGCAAAGCACCCCCACAACAUGAUGCUGCCACCCCCGUUUUUUAUGGUUGGGAUGGUGUUCUUUAGCUUGCAAGCGUCCCCGUUUUUCCUCCAAACAUAACAAUGUUCAUUAUGUCCAAACAGUUAUAUUUUUGUUUCAUCAGACCAGAGGACAUUUCUCCAAAAAGUAUGAUCUUUGUCCCCAUGCGCAGUUGCAAACCGUAGUCUGGCUUUUUUUAUGGCGGUUUUGGAGGAGUGACUUCUUCCUUGUUGAGCAGCCUUUCAGGUUAUGUCGAUAUAGGACUCGUUUUACUGUGGAUAUAGAUACUUUUGCACCUGUUUCCUCCAGCAUCUUCACAAGGUCCUUUGCUGUUGUUCUGGGAUUGAUUUGCACUUUUCGCACCAAAGUAUGUUCAUUUCAAGGAGACAGAAUGCGUCUCCUUCCUGAGCGGUGUGACGGCUGCGUGGUCCCAUGGUGUUUAUACUUGCAUACUAUUGUUUGUACAGAUGAACGCUGUACCUUCAGGCAUUUGGAAAUUGCUCCCAAGGAUGAACCUGACUUGUGGAGGUCUACAAUUUAUUUUCUGAGGUCUUGGCUGAUUUCUUUUGAUGUCAAGCGAAGAGGCAUUGAGUUUGAAGGUAGGACUUGAAAUACAUUCACAGGUACACCUCUAAUUGACUCAAAUGAUGUCAAUUAGCCUAUCAGAAGCUUCUAAAGCCAUGAUAUCAUUUUCGGGAAUUUUCCAAGCUGUUUAAAGGCACAGUCAGCUUAGAGUAUGUAAACUUCUGACCCACUGGAAUUGUGAUACAGUGAAUUAUAAGUGAAAUAAUCUGUCUGUAAACAAUUAUUUGGAAAUUACUUGUUUCAUGCACAAAGUAUAUGUCCUAACCGUCUUCCCAAAACUAUAGUUUGUUAACAAGAAAUUUGUGGAGUGGUUGAAAAACGAGUUUUAAUGACUCCAACCUAAGUGUAUGUAAACUUCCGACUUCAACUGAGUCCCGAGACGCUUGUGGGGAGAACACCAACGUUGUAAUCGGCCUGUGUGUAGCUGGUGUAGAGAGUCAGGCGUUGGACAGCAGAUAUGAGUAAUCAACGUAUUUACUCAAGUAUUCACAAAUACAACACAAUAUACCGAGCCCACAAUAAUGGACCGUAUACAAGACAAACAAUUACUCACAAACAAACAUGGGGGAACAGAGGGUUAAAUAAUGAACAAGUAAUUGGGGGAUAAAAACAGGUGUGUAAGACAAAGACAAAACAAGUGGAAAAUGAAAAUUGGAUCGGCGAUGGCUAGAAGGCCGGUGACUUCUAUCGCCGAAAGCCACCCGAACAAGGAGACGGACCGACUUCGGCGGAAGUCGUGACAAAUGUGUUUGUGAGAGUCGUCUUUCCAUAGUUUGUGAGCCAAACCAUUCAGACGCAACUGACGAUGAUGUGAGACCUAUUUUUAUGAUGUCUCAUGGUCUGACAAACACCAUCAUAUUGCAUUGUUCUGUGUUUUAUUAAUCUGUCUACAGGGCUCUGUGUUUCAUUAAUCAGUCUACAGGACUCUGUCUUUUAAUAAUCACUGUACAGGGUUCUGUGUUUUAUUAAUCAGUGUACAGGACUGUGUUUUAUUAAUCAGUCUACAUGGCUCUGUGUUUUACUAAUCAGUGUACAGGACUGUGUUUUAUUAAUCAGUGUGUUGUGUGUUUUAUUAAUCAGUCUGCAGAGCUCUGUGUUUUAUUAAUCAGUCUACAGGGCUCUGUGUUUUAAUAAUCAGUGUACAGGACUCUGUUUAACCUCUCUAGGGUAUGUGGGACGAAAUCGUCCCACCUACUCAACAGCCAGUGGAAUCCCGUGGCGCGUUAUUCAAAUACCUUAGAAAUGCUAUUACUUAAAUUUCUCAAACAUAUGACUAUUUUACACCAUUUUAAAGACAAGACUCUCGUUAAUCUAACCACACUGUCCGAUUUCAAAAAGGCUUUACAACGAAAGCAAAACAUUAGAUUAUGUCAGCAGAGUACCCAGCCAGAAAUAAUCAGACACCCAUUUUUCAAGCUAGCAUAUAAUGUCACAUAAACCCAAACCACAGCUAAUUGCAGCACUAACCUUUGAUGAUCUUCAUCAGAUGACAAUCCUAGGACAUUAUGUUAUACAAUACAUGCAUGUUUUGUUCAAUCAAGUUCAUAUUUAUAUCAAAAACCAGGUUUUUACAUUAGCAUGUGAUGUUCAGAACUAGCAUACCCACCGCAAACUUCCUGUGAAUUUACUAAAUUACUCACGAUAAACGUUCACAAAAAACAUAACAAUUAUUUUAAGAAUUAUAGAUACAGAACUCCUUUAUGCAAUCGCUAUGUCCGAUUUUAAAAUAGCUUUUCGGCAAAAGCACAUUUUGCAAUAUUCUGAGUAGAUAGCCCAGCCAUCACGGGCUAGCGAUUUAGACACCCACCAAGUCUGGCCCUCACCAAACUCCAAUUUACUAUUAGAAAAAUGUGAUUACCUUUGCUGUUCUUCGUCAGAAUGCACUCCCAGGACUUCUACUUCAAUAACAAAUGUUGGUUUGGUUCAAAAUAAUCCAUAGUUACGUUCAAAUAUCCUCUGUUUUGUUCGUGCGUUCAAGACACUAUCCGAAGGGUGACGAAGGGUGACGCGCCCGAUGCGUUUCGUGACAAAAAAAAUCUAAAUAUUCCAUUACCGUACUUCGAAGCAUGUCAUCCGCUGUUUAAAAACAAUUUUUCUGCGAUUUUUAUCGUAAAAAAAGCGAUAAUAUUCCAACCGGGAAGCCCUGUUUUAGUUCAAAGACGAAAAAAUAAAAACAUGGUGUCGCCUCGGGCACGCGCCUCAGUCUCAUUGUUCUCUGAUCGACCAUUAUCGAAAUGCGCUACUGUUUUUCAGCCAGGGCCUGCAAAGACAUCAUUCAGCCUUUUGCCGCCUUUUGAGUGCCUAUGGGAGCCGUAGGAAGUGUCACGUUACAGCAGAGAUCCUCAGUUUUCAAUAAAGAGAGUGUAGAAGCCCAAGAAAUGGUCAGACAGGCCACUUCCUGUAAGGAAUCUUCUCAGGUUUUUGCCUGCCAUAUGAGUUCUGUUAUACUCACAGACACCAUUCAAACAGUUUUAGAAACUUUAGGGUGUUUUCUAUCCAAAGCCAAUAAUUAUAUGCAUUUUCUAGUUUCUGGGCAGUAGUAAUAACCAGAUUAAAUCGGGUACGUUUUUUAUCCGGCUGUGCAAAUACUGCCCCCUACCCUAGAGAGGUUAAUUUUUGUUCACUACCUGGUCAGGGCUAUUUCUAUUACUAAUAAUGAGACUCAGGUAUAAGGAGGGAUGUUCACUACCUGGCCAGGACUAUUACUAGUGAUGGGACUCAGGUAUAAAGAGGGAUGUUCACUACCUGUGGUAAAUUCAAUUGUUUGGACAUGAUUUGGAAAGGCACACACCUGUCCAUCCAACCUGACAGAGCUUGAGAGGAUCUGCAGAGAAGAAUGGGAGAAACUCCCCAAAUACAGGUGUGCCAAGCUUGCAGUGUCAUACCCAAGAAGAAUCACUGCCAAAGGUGUUUCAACAAAGUACCGAGUAAAGGGUCUGAAUACUACUAAAUGUGAUAUUUCAGUUUUUAAUGUGUUAUAAAUUAGAAAAUAUUUCUAAAAACCAGUUUUUGCUUUGUCAUUAUGGGGUAUUGUGAUGUCAUUAUGGGGUAUUGUGAUGUCAUUAUAGGGUAUUGUGUAUAGAUUGAUGAGGAAUAAAAAAAAAAACCAUUUUAUAAUAAGGCUGUAACGUACCACAAUGUGGAAAAAGUCAACAAGUCUGAAUACUUUCCGAAGGCACUCUAUAUAAUUUGGUUAGAGCACAUUAAUACAAUUAAUACACAAGCACAUUAAUAAAAUUAAUACACAAGCAAAUGUAGAACCUUCAAAUCUGAACGUGUGUGAAAAUAAAGAAAUAUUUUUU